rnacentral:rRNA from 1 species
UACGUAGGGUGCGAGCGUUAAUCGGAAUUACUGGGCGUAAAGCGUGCGCAGGCGGCGCGUUAAGACAGGUGUGAAAGCCCCGAGCUUAACUUGGGAAUUGCGCUUGUGACUGGCGUGCUGGAGUGUGGCAGAGGGAGGUGGAAUUCCACGUGUAGCAGUGAAAUGCGUAGAGAUGUGGAGGAACACCGAUGGCGAAGGCAGCCCCCUGGGUCAAAACUGACGCUCAUGCACGAAAGCGUGGGGAGCAAACAGG